rnacentral:rRNA from 1 species
GCUGAGGACGACCGGUCUGCCCUCUGGGUGAGUAUUGGUUCUGCCUUGGCAUCUUCUUACAGGACGUUACUGCACUUGACUGUGUGGUGCGGUACUUAAGACUUUUACUUUGAGGAAAUUAGAGUGUUUCAAGCAGGCGUGUGCCUUGAAUACACUAGCAUGGAAUAAUAGGAUAGGACCUUGGUUCUAUUUUGUUGGUUUCUAGAGCCGAGGUA